CAGUGGCAGACGGGUGAGUAACGCGUGGGAACGUACCCUUUGGUUCGGGAUAACCCAGGGAAACUUGGGCUAAUACCGGAUAAGCCACGGGAAAGGUUUACUGCCGAAGGAUCGGCCCGCGUCGGAUUAGCUAGUUGGUGGGGUAACGGCCUACCAAGGCGACGAUCCGUAGCUGGUCUGAGAGGAUGAUCAGCCACACUGGGACUGAGACACGGCCCAGACUCCUACGGGAGGCAGCAGUGGGGAAUAUUGGACAAUGGGCGCAAGCCUGAUCCAGCCAUGCCGCGUGAGUGAAGAAGGCCUUAGGGUUGUAAAGCUCUUUUACCCGGGAAGAUAAUGACGGUACCGGGAGAAUAAGCCCCGGCAAACUUCGUGCCAGCAGCCGCGGUAAUACGAAGGGGGCUAGCGUUGUUCGGAUUUACUGGGCGUAAAGCGCACGUAGGCGGAUUGUUAAGUCGGGGGUGAAAUCCUGGAGCUCAACUCCAGAAUUGCCUUCGAUACUGGCUUUCUAGAGGCUGGAAGAGGUUAGUGGAAUUCCCAGUGUAGAGGUGAAAUUCGUAGAUAUUGGGAAGAACACCAGUGGCGAAGGCGGCUAACUGGUCCUGAUC
rnacentral:rRNA from 1 species